GGUUCAUUCAAAUUUCUGCCCUAUCAACUUUCGAUUGUAGAGUAGUGGUCUACAAUGGUUUCAACGGGUAACGGGGAAUUAGGGUUCUAUUCCGGAGAGGGAGCCUGAGAAACGGCUACCACAUCCAAGGAAGGCAGCAGGCGCGCAAAUUACCCAAUCCCGACCGGGGAGGUAGUGACAAUAAAUACUGAUACAGGGCUCUUUUGGGUCUUGUAAUUGGAAUGAGUACAAUUUAAAUCCCUUAACGAGGAACAAUUGGAGGGCAAGUCUGGUGCCAGCAGCCGCGGUAAUUCCAGCUCCAAUAGCGUAUAUUAAAGUUGUUGCAGUUAAAAAGCUCGUAGUUG
rnacentral:rRNA from 1 species